rnacentral:rRNA from 1 species
UACGGGGGGAGCAAGCGUUGUUCGGAUUUACUGGGCGUAAAGGGCUCGUAGGCGGCCAACUAAGUCAGACGUGAAAUCCCUCGGCUUAACCGGGGAACUGCGUCUGAUACUGGAUGGCUGGAGUUUGGGAGAGGGAUGCGGAAUUCCAGGUGUAGCGGUGAAAUGCGUAGAUAUCUGGAGGAACACCGGUGGCGAAGGCGGCAUCCUGGACCAACACUGACUCUGAUGAGCGAAAGCCAGGGGAGCAAACGGG